rnacentral:rRNA from 1 species
UACGUAGGGUGCGAGCGUUGUCCGGAAUUACUGGGCGUAAAGGGCUCGUAGGUGGUUUGUCGCGUUGUCCGUGAAAACUCACAACUCAAUUGUGGGCGUGCGUGCGAUACGGGCAGACUGGAGUACUGCAGGGGAGACUGGAAUUCCUGGUGUAGCGGUGGAAUGCGCAGAUAUCAGGAGGAACACCGGUGGCGAAGGCGGGUCUCUGGGCAGUAACUGACGCUGAGGAGCGAAAGCGUGGGGAGCGAACAGG